UGAGCCCAAAAAUAAUUUGAUAUUUCCUUCCCAAAGUUUAACCCAUGGUCCCAGCCCAAACUGGCUCCACUUUUUAACACGCCUCUUGACACACUCACAGUUACUUACAGACACAUACACACAAAUACAUACACACACACACACACACAUGAACAAGCAGACAAAGAUAGCAAUGGACAAGUACAUACAGGCAAAAAAAGGAAUACAUAAACGCAGACAGGCAUACACAGGAAUAGGCAAGUAUGACCAGGCACAGACAGGUACACACAGGUUAAGAAAGGAAUACAUAGACACAAACAGGCACGUACUGGUAUUUGCAGGUACAGACAAGUAUGCACAGGCACAGACAGGUACAUACAGACAGGCAUCCCCAAGCACAGACAGACAGACACACAUAGGCACACAGGCACAGACAGCCAACUUGUG